CCUGCAAACUCAGAUUAUCAGAAUUUAUGAAUACAUAAUAAUAUAUUUAUAAUUUGGUGUUCAUAAUUUUGUUGUAUUCACCUGGAGAUUUUGUGCUAGGAACCGAUGUUUGGUGAUGGUAAUCUGCAGAGUACAAGAAAUUUAGAAUUCCACAAUAAUGGCAGCAAAUAACUUUCAGCAAGGCAAGAUGGAAAAAGCAUUUAUUUACCUUUAUUUCCAGAUAGGCUUUCAAGCUUAGCGAAAAGGCCGACAAGAGGUGCAGACCCGGCAAGUGUAGGCUCAGUUUGCUCGUAACUAGACCGAUCAUCGUUGAAGCCGUCGUUCUGGUCGGGUCCUCCCACCAGAGCUCCGUAUAUGACAUUAGGAUCCGCUUCAGGGCUGCGGUACCAGGCUUCAAAUCCUUGGACGCAGCUCACCAUCGAAGGAAGAACAGAGAUUGAGGCGAUUGAAGCACCUCGGUGGUGAACGUGGGUCGGAUAUUUUGGUCCGUAACCUACCAAGUAGCUCAUUGACUUGGGAUUUUUGCCUAGAAUGUAAUCGGCCUGUGACUUGGCAAAAUUUAGAACUUCAUGUGGUUGAAUUUGGCCAUCGGGACAAGUAAGUUUAGCAUUUGCUGCAGAGAGAUAAUCAGAGUAGACAGCAAGAAGAAAUGAUGCAGCUGAUGCAUAUUGCAGAUUGUUCCAUUCAUGUACAUACAUUAAGCCACCUGGUUUAUAAAUACAAGGCAUAUAAAUAUUUACUUUUUUUCACAAUAAAA